rnacentral:rRNA from 1 species
UACGUAGGGUGCAAGCGUUGUUCGGAAUUACUGGGCGUAAAGGGCUCGUAGGCGGCCAACUAAGUCGGAUGUGAAAUCCCCAGGCUCAACCUGGGAACUGCAUCCGAUACUGGAUGGCUUGAAUCCGGGAGAGGGAUGCAGAAUUCCAGGUGUAGCGGUGAAAUGCGUAGAUAUCUGGAGGAAUACCGGUGGCGAAGGCGGCAUCCUGGACCGGCAUUGGCGCUGAGGAGCGAAAGCCAGGGGAGCAAACGGG